rnacentral:rRNA from 1 species
CAUGGCGGGGUCUUACACAUGCAAGUCGAACGAUGAAGCCCUUCGGGGUGGAUUAGUGGCGAACGGGUGAGUAACACGUGGGCAAUCUGCCCUUCACUCUGGGACAAGCCCUGGAAACGGGGUCUAAUACCGGAUAUCACUCUCGCAGGCAUCUGUGAGGGUCGAAAGCUCCGGCGGUGAAGGAUGAGCCCGCGGCCUAUCAGCUUGUUGGUGAGGUAACGGCUCACCAAGGCGACGACGGGUAGCCGGCCUGAGAGGGCGACCGGCCACACUGGGACUGAGACACGGCCCAGACUCCUACGGGAGGCAGCAGUGGGGAAUAUUGCACAAUGGGCGAAAGCCUGAUGCAGCGGCGCCGCA